UUAAUACUUCCUCCGUCCCAUAUCAAGUGAUUUUCUAUUACAUGUAUCUAGACGCUUUUUAAGUGUAGAUACAUCUAUAUUUAAGCAAAUUUGAGUCAUUUAAUAUGGGAUGGAGAAAGUAACAA
rnacentral:pre_miRNA from 1 species